rnacentral:rRNA from 1 species
UUGAAGGGCUGCAGUAUUUUGACUGUACAAAGGUAGCAUAAUCAUUAGUCAUUUAAUUGAUGACUUGUAUGAAGGAUUGGAUGAAAUAUAUACUGUCUCUUAAUUAAAUAUAGAAUUUAAUUUUUUAAUUAAAAAGUUAAAAUAAUUUAAAAAGACGAGAAGACCCUAUAGAGUUUUAUAAAUAAUUUAAUUGAGAUUAUUUUAUAUAAAUAAAAUUAAAAUUAAAAUAUUUAUUUUAUUGGGGUGAUAGAAAAAUAUAUAUAACUUUUUUUUUAUAAUUAGAACAUUUAUAAGUGGUUAAAUGAUCCAAUAUUAUUGAUUAUAAGAAAAAUUACCUUAGGGAUAACAGCGUAAUUUUUUUUUUUAGUUCAUAUAAGAAAAAGAGUUUGCGACCUCGAUGUUGGAUUAAGAUAAAAUUUAAAUGUAGAAG